rnacentral:tRNA from 1 species
GCUCGGGUGGCGAAACCGGUAGACGCGAGGGACUUAAAAUCCCUUGAGGUAAAACCUCUUGUGGGUUCGAUCCCCACCCCGAGCA